rnacentral:lncRNA from 1 species
ACUUAAGAACAGAGAGAUUAAGAGACUAAAGAGACUGAGAGAAUAAGUGUUUCAGAUUAGAGAAGGAGAAGGGAAACCCCCUUACUCACUUGGAGUUUACAAAAUGCAUACAAAUGGCUUAUAUAUGCCUUUAAAUCACUCAGAUCAUAAACCUAUAUCCUAAGGCUGUAAUUAAAAGAUAGAAUGGAUGGCUAGGAUGAGAGAAGGCUGGUCUUGGAUGUUCUGGUGCAAGCUGGCAAGGGAGGCACGCCUGAUUUGAAUGGAGGGGAGAGAUUGGCUCAUUUUGAAUCAAUGGCCAAGAUGAGACAGUGUGGAGAUAAGGCUGUAAAGGUAAAGCCACUUUUACUUUCCAGCCUUUCUCUUUGGACCACCCAGCUCAUA